GACGGUCACGGAGCCGGAAUCCCUCCCAGCUGGGGUCGUGGUUGGGUCUCCUCAGGAGCAGCCCUGCGUCCAGGACCCGAGGGACUCCGGCGUAGGCGUCGGGGAGGGAACACAGUGGACACCAAGGAUGCGCUGGAGUUUUAGGAAAGCAUCUCCCGCUGACAUUGAGGGCAGACCGUCCACCGGAUGGAACACCCACCGCAGCGCUCUCGUGGGGUCAGAUCCCCGCAGGGCAGGCGGGCCAGUCUGCGGUUGUCGCCAUGGCGGUCACUGUCCUGCGCUGCCGGCCUCGGUCCAGGGCCGGUGCGCUCAGGACUCGCACAUGACAAACGCUCCAUCAGAGCCAAGGACGUGUCGCUAGCAUGGCUGCGUCUCACCUUUGCAUAGCGGUCAGGGCCCUCACUGACCCCUGUGUGACAACGUGAGGCUACGACACGUCACUCGAGGACCGUCACUCGGAACCGUGAGGGAGCCGUUCCCAGGCGUUCCUCGUUUGCCGGCCUGCUUGGUGGGGUCUCCGUCCAGGAUCUGAGCCACAGCAUCGAGCGCGUCCUCCCCCAGCCCCCGACUCGCCCGGGAGGCUGAGAAGCAGCAGCGGGGCCGCGGUCCAGGCUGCCCGCAGAGCCUUCCUCCGGAGGAGCAGACAGCGCACGUGACAGGGGCCCCGAGAGCCCCCAGGCCUGGGGACCAGGGAGGCCUUCCCUGGGGAGGCGGAGCCCAGCAGAGCCCAGCUGCCGCCCUUCCCCUCCCCCUGGAGCAGCCCCUAGCCCUGAGGUGGGGACAGCAGCUGGAGGGGAUGGGCGUUUCAGAGAGGAGCUGAGGCCACUGCUCCAGCGUGCAGGAAGCACAACUUUUGUUCUUUUCCUCGGCUUAGCGCAAUCUCGGCUGCAUUGGACCAGGUGGGUCAAGCCCAGAUUCUGGAUCCAGGAUGCCAGGUUGGCACCCACCUCCUCCCAGCAGUGUGACCUGGGCCACGUUCACUGGGGUGCUCCGUGCCUCGGUUCCCUCAUCUGUGAAAUGGGGCAAUACUAGAAUCCUUUCCUAGUGUUGCUGAGAGGAUUAAAACACGUUCCCAUGGAAACACUUAGAACAACGCCUGCGAGUUAGCUGUCUUUACUUCUCUUUUCUGCACAGAUGCUGGAAACCUGACCUCAGGCAAUUUGUUGCUGAUCCUUCCCCUUUUCCGAGGAUUUACCUGUUCCAGGUGACAGGCGGACCAACAUGGUCCUCAGGCACCAUCCCUCUGACCCGUCAGACUGGGUCCUGGGUGUUGGCUCCACGGUUGCCAUGGAGACGCUCCUUGUGCCUGUCCCUCCUGGCCUGACCAUUGGCUCUGCUACUUCAGUGACCCCUGGUGCUUGUGGAGGUCACCCCGUGGCUCCUGCACUGGGAGGGAGAAGCGCUCUCUGCCAUCCUCACAGACUUGACUACUCAGGGCAGGGGUGGCAAAUGCAGGUGCCUGAGGGGUGGGCUGGUGACCUGAGUGUGGGAACGGGCCGGUGGGGACUGCAGGAGAGCACUGGCCGUGUGUCGGGGUGGCUGUUCCUCAGCUCUGACCACUUGUCCCGUGAGGGAAGCCAUGCCCCGUCCGGCUUACUUUUGUGGUUUUGAAUGAAGUUGGGGUUUUCGAUGUGCAAUAAACUGUAGUUUUUCUUUUAA